rnacentral:rRNA from 1 species
UACAGAGGUCUCAAGCGUUGUUCGGAUUCAUUGGGCGUAAAGGGUGCGUAGGUGGCGGGGUAAGUUGGAUGUGAAAUCUCGGAGCUCAACUCCGAAACUGCAUUCAAUACUGCCUUGCUAGAGUACUGGAGAGGAGAUUGGAAUUUACGGUGUAGCAGUGAAAUGCGUAGAUAUCGUAAGGAAGACCAGUGGCGAAGGCGGAUCUCUGGACAGUUACUGACACUGAGGCACGAAGGCUAGGGGAGCAAACGGG